UACGUAGGGUGCAAGCGUUGUUCGGAAUCACUGGGCGUAAAGCGCGCGUAGGCGGACCUGCAAGUCGGGGGUGAAAGCCCGAGGCUCAACCUCGGAACUGCCUUCGAUACUGCGGGUCUCGAGUCCGGGAGAGGUGAGUGGAAUUCCUAGUGUAGAGGUGAAAUUCGUAGAUAUUAGGAAGAACACCAGUGGCGAAGGCGGCUCACUGGCCCGGUACUGACGCUGAGGC
rnacentral:rRNA from 1 species